rnacentral:rRNA from 1 species
AACGAACGCUGGCGGCACGCCUAACACAUGCAAGUCGAACGAGAAGGUUCUUUCGGGAACUGGACAGUGGCGGACGGGUGAGUAACACGUGGGAACAUGCCUUUUGGUACGGAACAACCAUUGGAAACGAUGGCUAAUACCGUAUACGUCCUUAGGGAGAAAGAUUUAUCGCCGAAAGAUUGGCCCGCGCUAGAUUAGCUAGUUGGUAAGGUAAUGGCUUACCAAGGCUUCGAUCUAUAGCUGGUUUGAGAGGAUGAUCAGCCACACUGGGACUGAGACACGGCCCAG